CCGGGAAGUGAUAGGAGACUGCCGGGGUCAACUCGGAGGAAGGUGGGGAUGAGGUCAAGUCAUCAUGCCCCUUAUGUCCAGGGCUUGAAACAUGCUACAAUGGCUGGUACAAAGGGCUGCAAUACCGCAAGGUGGAGCGAAUCCCAUAAAGCCAGUCUCAGUUCGGAUUGGGGUCCGCAACUCGACCCCAUGAAGUCGGAGUCGCUAGUAAUCGCAGAUCAGCAAUGCUGCGGUGAAUACGUUCCCGGGCCUUGUACACACCGCCCGUCAAGUCAUGAAAGUCGGUAACACCCGAAGCCGGUGGCCCAACCCUUGUGGAGGGAGCCGUCGAAGGUGGGACCGGUAAUUAGGACUAAGUCGUAACAAGGUAGCCGUACCGGAAGGUGC
rnacentral:rRNA from 1 species